CAAGGUGCGAGCGAGGGGCACCGAGUGAGCAACAAGAACGGAGACAGAUUAAAAAUUACCAUUUUCUUUGCAUGAUGAUAUCUCAAGAACCGGAAGUCGUAUCGAGAUAAUUCAAAAAAUGUCUUAAAGGGUAAGGUCCUGCGCUUCCAAUGAUCGUUCGUUCGUUGAUUAAAAUUCACCAUUUUCGAAGUUAUAGCGGUUCAAAGAUUUGCCGAAUUUUAAUUUGAAACAAAUUAUGCGACAAUUGCUCGUGUUCAAAUCGUGUGUAAAAGUGAACUAAAGGUGAUCAAGAGAAGGUAUAUAUAAUAGAUCUUAGAUCUAUAAAAUAGUAGACCGUUUCUAUGUCUGCACAGUUUUCUUCCAAAAAGAGAUUCCUCGACACGAGGGUAUAAUCCAAAGUACAAAAUCGACAAAGUUUCGAGCAGAGUUUCGGACGUUGAAUUUAUAUCCAACCGCAAAGAUAUUACAUAAAAAAAGAAAGUAAAAGAAAAAUGGACAGCUCCUCUACGUAUAUCUUAAAGAAAUCCUGCGUUCAACAUUUUUCUCCAGUCCCUCGUACAUCAAAUCGUACCUCGACGUAUCCCUUUAAGAAACUACGCUCUCGACGUUUUUAUAGACACGAAGAAAUAUUUAGCUCGUAAAGAUACCGAAACUCGAAAUCGCCUCUUUUCCGCGAGCUUGGAAAAAACUUGGAUCUAAGUUUCGAAAAUUAUUGGGCAUCGAAUUUAGAGCGUGCUCGUAAAAAAA